rnacentral:rRNA from 1 species
AUUGAACGCUGGCGGCAGGCCUAACACAUGCAAGUCGAACGGUAGCACAGAGAGCUUGCUCUCGGGUGACGAGUGGCGGACGGGUGAGUAAUGUCUGGGAAACUGCCUGAUGGAUGGGGAUAACUACUGGAAACGGUAGCUAAUACCGCAUAACGUCGCAAGACCAAAGAGGGGGACCUUCGGGCCUCUUGCCAUCAGAUGUGCCCAGAUGGGAUUAGCUAGUAGGUGGGGUAAUGGCUCACCUAGGCGACGAUCCCUAGCUGGUCUGAGAGGAUGACCAGCCACACUGGAACUGAGACACGGUCCAGACUCCUACGGGAGGCAGCAGUGGGGAAUAUUGCACAAUGGGCGCAAGCCUGAUGCAGCCAUGCCGCGUGUAUGAAGAAGGCCUUCGGGUUGUAAAGUACUUUCAGCGGGGAGGAAGGUGCUGAGGUUAAUAACCUCAGCAAUUGACGUUACCCGCAGAAGAAGCACCGGCUAACUCCGUGCCAGCCGCCGCAGUAA